rnacentral:lncRNA from 1 species
AGUGACUGGCGUGCGAUCUCCGCCGCGCCCAUACGGAGGAGCCAAAAAGGGGAUCUGCACGCAGCCGCGCUAGCCGCCGCCCGAGGCGCCCCGCCCCUCCUCCUCCGGCAUCACACCACGGCACGUCGGCAGCAGCCUCUGCCAGCUGCACUCGACGUGCUCUGUGAGCAUUCUCCCUUUGAGAUCUCUGGUUCCUUCAGCUGCGCCACCCCGCAGCUCGCCGUCGCGCCUCUCCCCGUUCGCAGGCACCCGACCAGACACCGAGAGCACGCCGCGACUCCAGGCAUCCAGUUGCCGAUCCACCGACGCUCAAGGUUCUGCUGCUUACACGAGUUUUUGACGGUCUGACCUCGAUCCGGUCGGCGGCGCUGAUAGCACGCCGCGCCUGCCGAUCCAGACUCCCCACCGCGAGGGCUCUUUUCCGGCCGGCCGCGAUCUGCACGCAGCCGCCGCCACCGCUGCUCGCCUCUGUCGCCGCUGUCCUAAACUGCCGUUCUCCUGCCGGUGAUGGAUUCGAGUUCGCCGGAAAUCCAUCGUGACAAGGGGG